rnacentral:rRNA from 1 species
GAUGAACGCUGGCGGCAUGCCUAACACAUGCAAGUCGAGCGAACGCACGCCUACCUUUCUCCUCUGGUGUUAGCCGCGUACGUAUUACUACCACAUGUAUCCCCUCCCUGUGAGUCUGGGAGCGCUUCGUUUGCUCGUACCUCAUACGAUCUACUAUUUUGAGCCGCGUGCUUCAAAACCUAGCGCCGGCCUUGCUGCCACUGAUAGAUUGAUCCGCGCUGCAUUAGCUAGUUGGUCAGGUAACGGCUUACCAAGGCGACGAUGCAUAGCCGACCUGAGAGGAUGAUCGGCCACACUGGAACUGAGACACGGUCCAGACUCCUACGGGAGGCAGCAGUAGGGAAUUUUCGGCAAUGGGCGAAAGCCUGACGGAGCAACGCCGCGUGAGGGAUGAAGGUCUUCGGAUCGUAAACUGCUGUUAUACGGAAAGAACAGAUGUGUAAGAAAACGGGCAGAUCAUGACGGUACCGUAUGAGAAAGCCCCGGCUAACUACGUG